UGUCUGUAAUAAGAGGUAGCGGAUAAGUC
rnacentral:sRNA from 1 species